ACGAUCACCUUUGUACUCAUAAGUUGUUUUCAAUAAUAGAGCUUUCGAAUUAACGAUCCAUAUCGUUAAACAUUAUCUAGAGUAUUUAAAACUUUUAGAAAUCAAAUUUUAUAAAUUUCGAUAUUAUUUAUCUUACUUUCAGAAGCUCACAAAAUUGACAAUUUUUAACGGCCGAUAUGAAAUAUUUGCUAGUUUAACGGUAAAAAAGAAUCGGAAUAGGUUGAAUUUUUUAUAAAAAUUCUAUUCACUACCUAAAUAAAGAUCAAUAACUCCGAUCUUAAAUUGAAGAGUCCGAUCAUCCAUUUUUAGGACGUCUUUCGAUUUUAACCGUUCAUUUUAUACCCACUUGAUGGACUUUAUAAUGAUUUAGAAAAAUUACGAAAUUUAUUUUCUAGAAGUUUCAAAUACUCUAGAUUAUAUUCAACGGUGUGGAUCGUCGAUUCGAAAAUCCAACAUCGAAAACAACUUAUGAGUACGAAGGGCUCUAUACUCAUAAAAGUAUAGCAGCCCUUCUCUCUCUCUCUCUCUCUCUCUCUCUCUCUCUCUCUCUCUCUCUCUCUAUAUAUAUAUAUAGUUUACUUGAAAUACUGUUUAUAGUAAAUAAAUAAUAUUUACCAUCAAUAGUGUGUGUGUAUAUAUUAGUGCUACUAUAUUCUUAUGAAUAUAGAGCUUUUUGUAUUCAUAAAUCACUUUCGAUAAUGAAGCUUCCGAGUUCCAAAUCAACAAUCCUCACUGUUACAUGUGAUAUAAAUUAUGUAAAACUUUUAAAAAAUAAAUUUCAUAACUUUUCGAAAUUAUAAUAAAAACCAUCAAGUGAGCAUAAAAUAAACGAUUAAAGUCAAACAAUUUUCUAAAAAUAAAGAAUUGAAUUCUUUAAUUUAAAAUCGGAGUUAUUAGUCUUUAUCUAGAUAAUGAAUAGAUUUUCUAUCAAACAAAUUCAACCAAUUUUGAUUCUUUCACACUUUUAAAUUAGCAAGUAUUCCAUACUGGCCAUUAAAAAUUAUCAAUAUUGCGAUCUUUUGAUCGUAAGGUAAAUUAUGUCAAAAAAUUAUAAAAUUUGAUUUCUAAAGGUUUCAAAUGCUCUAGAUCAUAUUUAACGGUGUGAAUCAUUGAUUCAAAACUUUUAUCAUAAAAAAUGACUUAUAAAUACGAAGAUGAUCAUACUUAUAAAUAGAGAUGUCAAUGGGUCGGAUUCGGGGGGAAUUUUCAAAAACCCGAACCCGAACCCGACUCCAAACCCGAGACCCGAACCCAACGGAUUUUAAAAAUCCUUAUCCAAACUCGAGCCCGACCAAAAAUUCGAAACCUGAACCCGAACCUGAAAAUUUGAACCUGAAAUAAUUAUUUUUUUUUCAAUACUUCAAAAUAUAUUAUAUUAAAUCUAAAUUUUUAAAAUACAAAUUCAAAUAUAACAUCAAAUAUAUAUAU
rnacentral:lncRNA from 1 species